AACAAUUGCAUUUUUGUUAUUAAAGUAGCAUUUUGAGCGGUACCGAAUGCAUAGAAAUAAUUGGUAGUAGUACAUGUCUACUACGAAUUCUAUUAACUAGGGUCAAAUACGUGUCUACGUGCGGUAGUCGAGAACACAACUCAUGUUGCGUCACUCGAAGAAACGACAGAUUGUUCGAUCAGGAAAGCAUGUGCAUCACCGAAUGCAACGAUAUCCGCCGACUGAGAUCUACAGAGAAACGAUCAAUGAUCCGAGGCGCGCAAGGUCAAGAAUUACUAUUUAAAAGAAUUGUUCGUCUUUGACGCGGCGAUGGUCAUUUCUACGAAACUAUAAGCUAUUGACUAUACAUUUCUAGUUCAUAAGGGUUUGAACUUCCGUUUAUGCAGCUAGGAGUCGAAACACGCUAGCUACCGCGUACCGAUAUACAUACAUACAUACAUACAUACAUACAUACAUACAUACAUAUAUAUAAAUCUUUGUCAACAUCGAGUAGAUGUUGCAAUCGCAAUUGUAAAAGAACGUCCACGCGCAUUUCUGUCACAUGCCGUAUUUAUACGGAAUGAACGCGUUUAUGCACGAGACGUUGCUUUCCUCGAUGUAUUUAUUGUUAUAUCGUACUAUAUUUUGCACCGACGUAUCAUCCUGUUACGUUCGCGUCAUAUUCAUACAGCUAACUUUGUACACGCGGUAGUUCUGAACACUAAAAAUAAAGUGGUUUACUUUGUAUCGCUACUAUUGGAACUAAUGAAACGCGCGAAUGCGAUAACUCUUGCAAACACAAAUGGAAGCGUUGUUUGGAUAUUAUAUAUCGUUUACAAUUAAAAAUAGACUUCACGCGAUA